ACCCCGUGUUUUAUCCGGACAUCAUCCGAGCAGCUGCGCGCGUGCACCCCGACCAGUGCGCGCACGUCUAUCAGUUCCCUUUGAGGCCGAUGGGUGGAGCUGAAGCUUGAGGAUGGAUUCUCUCUCUCUCUCUCUCUCUCUCUCUCUCUCUCUCUCUCUCUCUCUCUCUCCCUCUCUCUCUCUCACACACACACACACACACACACAGUCUGUCUGGUACCAGCAACAGCGCGCGGGAGGAGAGAAGAGGAGAGAGAGGGGGAGAGGAGAAAAGAGAGGGGAUGAGAUGGAAGGAUGACUUAAAACGAUGAGGAGAGAGAGAGGGGAAAAGAAGGACCCGGACACCUCCACUCAUGCCUCACCUGGAAUAUUUUCUGGAUUUCUCCUUUUUUUCUGCCGAGCAGUGUUUUUUUUCUUUCUUUUUUAAAGGAGCGCGAGAGCCGUGACUGGCAUCAUCAAUACAUCUGACACACACACAGAGACACACUUACACACAGAUACACACAGACGCACGCACACACCCUCACAUUCUCACGCGCACAGAUAGGCUAUAGGGAGAUGUGUUUUUUGGACUCUGUGAGAGAAAAGGUGAGAGUAGCGUCCACACCCCCACGCACGCGCGGAGCGGACUCUAACAGGAGGAUCUGAGUGUGUUUCAGUGCUGGGGGUGAAGUUGCGGACAGAUCCGGCUCCUGAGUCGUGACGGUAUGGAGGGGCACGGCGCAUGGUUCGCCCGGCGGCCUCGCAGGAUUUGGCUUCUGGUUCUGCUCAGCAGCGUAGGUUUUCACGGAUACCUGAGCUCCCUACUGGACUGUCCGCCCACCUGCUCGUGCUCUCCUGCGGAGAUCUUCUGCAAUAAGUCGGACAGCAGCAGCGUCUUCCCGCUGCUCUCCUUCCAGGGCACCGGGAGCUCCGCCAACAGCAGCGGGAGCAUCGAGGACCUCUUCCAGAACAUCUCUUCCAUACACAUCGAGAACUGGACUGGGUUGCAGACUCUGAGAGACGUGGACAUGGAGCUGUACACCGGCCUGCAGAGACUAUCUAUUACGAGGAGUAACCUGCAUACGAUACAAGCUCGGGUUUUCUCCAAGAACCCCCACCUACGCUUCAUAAAUCUGUCCAAAAACCCGAUCACCACGCUGUCCUGGCAGAUCUUUGAACACCUGCAGCUCUUUGAACUUCACUUGGAGGAGGUGGUGUUUACCUGUGGCUGUGAGAUCCGAUGGCUGCAGCUAUGGCAACAGAGAGGCGAGGCGGGGCUUAGCAGCCAGCAGCUGCACUGUUCUGACGAUUACGGAAGGAUCCCUCUGCAGGACAUGAACAUCAGCAGCUGUGACCUCCCUGAGAUCAGCGUUAGUCACAGUAAUCUCACUGUGAUCGAGGGCGAUCGAGUGACAGCCAUCUGUAACGGAUCAGGAUCACCUUUGCCUGAGGUGGACUGGCCUGUUAAUGGCCUGCACUCCAUCAACACACAGGAGGCCAGAGUGUAUGAGAACAACACAAUCCACUCCAUCAACAUCACACUGGUCAACGUCAGCAGAGACGACAACAACUUCCUGUUAACCUGCACCGCCACCAACGUGGUCGGAAUGACCAACGCCUCAGUACAGCUCACUGUGCACUUCCCUCCCUCAAUCAUUAAGCUCAAAGAGCCUGAGCGCCGCCAUGACACCUGUAUAGAGUUCACUGUUCGGGGGUCGCCCCACCCCAACCUUCGCUGGUUCUACCAGGAUGAGGAGAUCAAGCACACAGAGUAUGUGCGUCCUGACAUGGAUAUUUAUCAGGACUAUAUCGAGGGCUGUCUCACCUUUAAAAAUCCAACUCACCACAACAACGGGAACUAUACUCUCGAGGCCACAAACUACCUGGGAGCAGCCAGCAGCAUGGUGUAUGGGCACUUCUUGGACGAACCUUUUGGGGUAGGAGACUAUGAGUAUGGGACUCAACCUGCUGAAACUCUGAAACCUGAAGAGGACACCUUUGGGGUGUCCAUAGCUGUGGGUCUUGCAGGUUUUGCCUGUGUGAUGUUGGUGGUUGUCUUCCUGCUCUUCAACAAAUAUGGCCGGCGCUCAAAGUUCGGCAUGAAGGGACCCGUGGCAGUUAUCAGUGGCGAGGAAGAUUCUGCCAGUCCUCUUCAUCAUGUGAACCACGGGAUCAUCAGUCCGUGCACGCUGGAUGGAGGAGCAGAUGCUGUGGUGAUCGGGAUGACGAGAAUUCCUGUCAUCGAGAACCCGCAGUACUUCAGACAUGGACACAACUGUAACAAACCCACCACCUACGUUCAGCACAUACAGCGCAGAGACAUCAUCCUGAAGAGAGAGCUUGGAGAGGGAGCGUUUGGAAAGGUGUUUCUGGCUGAGUGUUACAACCUGAGCCCCACCAAGGACAAGAUGCUGGUCGCUGUGAAGACUCUGAAGGAUCCCACUCUGGCAGCCAGGAAGGAUUUCCAGCGUGAGGCCGAGCUGCUGACCAACCUGCAGCAUGAACACAUCGUCAAGUUCUACGGCGUGUGUGUGGACGGAGACCCGCUCAUUAUGGUGUUCGAGUACAUGAAGCACGGAGACCUCACAAGUUCCUCAGAGCCCACGGGCCAGACGCCAUGAUCCUGGUGGACGGACAGCCGCUGCAGACCAACGGGGAACUGGGUCUGUCUCAGAUGCUACACAUCGCCAGUCAGAUAGCGGCGGGGAUGAUCUACCUGGCGUCUCAGCACUUUGUGCACCGUGAUCUGGCCACAAGGAACUGUCUGGUGGGGAACGGCCUGCUGGUGAAGAUUGGAGACUUUGGCAUGUCCAGAGACAUUUACAGUACAGACUACUACAGGGUGGGGGGUCACACCAUGCUGCCAAUCCGGUGGAUGCCUCCAGAGAGCAUCAUGUACAGGAAGUUCACCACAGAGAGUGACGUGUGGAGCUUUGGAGUCAUCCUGUGGGAGAUCUUCACCUACGGCAAACAGCCAUGGUUCCAGCUUGCCAACAACGAGGUGAUAGAGUGCAUUACUCAGGGCCGGGUCCUGGAGCGCCCAAGACUGUGUCCCAAAGAAGUCUACGAUAUGAUGCUUGGUUGCUGGCAGAGAGAGCCACAGCAACGCCUCAACAUAAAGGACAUCCAGAAGAUGCUGUUUACCCUGAUGAAGUCCACACCUGUCUACCUGGACAUACUGGGAUAGAGGUGGACUUCAAAGGACGGGUUGGAGGAAUGAUUUCACUGGAUCUAAAGAGAGUGGAUUACCCUGGAGCUGAGGUCUGGACUCACAUGUGGAUUAGGUCUGGACUUUUCUCUGUGUCUGGAUUAGGACUGAUCUGACUGCAGAAGGAUGAUCUAGAUGCAUGUUGAACUGGAUUAGAGUAAACUGGAUUUGAGUGAACUGGAUUAGAGUGAACUGGAAUACUCUUCUCAGGAUCUCAUGAACAAAAGAGUGUCUGAAAGCUGAGUAUCUUGGUUUGGACUCAUGUGGUCCAGUUUUGCCUGUUGGACUAAGCCAUGUCUGAAAGACUGGAGUAUGGAGUAUGUUAAACUGGACUGAACUGAGAGCACCUGAUUGUACUGGUCCAGUUUGGUUUGGUACCAAUGUUUCCUAGCCUAUGCAUCUUCAUUUCACCCUGAGCCAGUGCAGCGCUGGUUCAGGAUCAGUCCUGGUAGAGUCUGAUUUAGCCUGUUGGAUUUAGGCUGAGCUUAGCUUUAUAACCAUCCUACAUUAUAACAACCCCCCCUCAUGUGUUUUCAUCGUGGUCCCUCGCGGAGUCAGGGCUUGGUUUGGUGUCAGCAAUCCUGACUUAGAGCGGUCUCUUCUAACUGGCCUCUCUUGGACAGGUCAUCACACAGUUAACCGUCCCUGACUCUAAUCAUGUGACUACAGUUCAGAGGGCUCUGUGUACAGUCUUACCUUUGAACAGGUAGGUGCUUGCCUAUGGCUUCACCUGUUUUUGAAUUUCUAUUGGCCAGAUUAGACUUUUAGAUCACGAUAGAGUUUAUGUUUGUGUGGAACACUCUGGAUCAUCAUGGCUGUGACUCACUGAGUUAGACAAUUGGGGGUCAUGGUUUCUCAGUAGAAUACGAUGGAGCUAUUCAGUAUGAAGCACAGCCUCACUGAACUUCUCCUCCAGCGUAAAAGAGAAACAUUAACAGACAUUAGUACCAGGCUGCGGUCUUCUUUCUUUCACACUCAUGUUGAAAAUGUACAGCACAGAUAACUGGUGAGGGUUUUUAGUCAGUGAAUGAGCUGACAUCUCAACAGCUAAGCUAGCAGCCUCCAGAGCCCCACUGGAGACAUGCAGCUGUUCAACAUGACGCUGCUUUGUUCAAUGUUUUAAUUCUGUGUUUCAGAGAGUAACAGCCUCUGUAGAUAAUCUGACUACCUGUGGACGACUAAUACUGACAGAUAUGUGAGGGAGGAAUUCAUAAGUUUCUGCAGCUCUGUGCAGGUUGCUCUUGUUUUGUGUCUGAUCAUGUAAAUGAGCUGUCAGAAUCUCCUCUCUCUGCAGUACAGAGCUGUGAGCUCUCCUCCUGACGGAGUUAAAGUCUGUCCUCAUACAGAUUAUGAGCUGGAUGGAGAGAAGACACUUUUAACAAGUUUAAUAUGAAGUCAUUUCGUGACAUCUCUUAUGAGUGCUGCACAGUGUCAGUGUCACUCUGUGUGGCUGUUAGAGCUGUUUUCUGUCUGACUUGCACAGGUUUAGCACACCAAGCUGCAGGUAUGUCUGCAUCUGAACCUGUAUGUGUUGACGGAGAUGUGAUCCAGAGUUUUCCUGACCCAGACGUCUGAGGAGGCUGACCUGCUGAGACCCUGACCAAGUCCCUGUAGAGGGAUUAGAAACCAAACAGGCAGGCGGAUCAGACUGAAGAUGACCAUAAUUUACUGGUCAUAUGAUCUCUGUCCACAGAUUUCAUCUGUAAACACUGUUCAUUCAAACAUGCGGUAGCCUGCAUGUUUAAUAUUCAUCCACUGUCUGCUUCCAUUCAUUCAUUCAUCUGAGGUUUUCAUCUGUCAGUCUUCAUUGUCUCACCUACUGGUCCUGACCUCAGGUGACUCCAGACCCUCUGGUCCUGAGCCUGAAGCCUGAGAGACCGUCUGUGGCCGUACAGAUGGACCUAAGUGCCUCAUUCUUUCUAAAUACAGGAACUAAAAAACAAGUCUCUGAGAUAAGAGCACUUUUACAUUUUGUUUACCUGCGUACAGACCAACACUGGCUGCAAACUUCUUUUCUUUUUCAGACAAACAAACAAACAAACAAACAAACAAUCAAACAAACAAACACAAACAGAUGGACAGAACAACAAAGAAGAAACAGGUGAACAAACAAACAAAAUAACGAACAGACAAACACAGAAAACCAUAUAGAUAGAUAGAUAGACAAACAAACAUACCAACACACAAAUAGACAAACAAACAAACAGAUGGACAAACUAACAAACUGACAAAUAUACCGACAUACCAAAAAAACAAACAAACAGACAAACAUACAGAUAGACAAACAAACCAACAAACAAACAGACCUUCAAACAUUAAAACUUUAAAAUAUGAGAAAACAGAGAAAAACGGAAGAAAAAAAAAAAUAGAAAAAAUGUUUUUUACCUUUUCAACUCAACCAGAAGGUCAGAGUACUCGAGGUAAAGUUUUGUUUUUUAGAUAAAAAAAUAUUCUCUAUAUUUUUAUUUAUUUUUAUUUGUAAACAAAGAGUGGACCUCUGCCAUGCUUCAAAGCCAUCAGAACAACCUGCCACUGAUCACCACAGACAGGUGAGGUCACCUGAGACCCUCAUCUGACAUAGAAGUGUUUCUGUGAGGGGAUUCACCUGGAUCAGGUGUGACCCUGGACGUGAUCCAUGAUAAACAGCUUUAUGGACACAGACAGAACGGGGACAGAGCAUCCGCUCGAUGAACAAACAGUGGCCAGUGUUCCUUACGAUGAAUGUAUAUACUGUAAAUCUCUGCGUCUCACAGCUGUUAAUUUAUUCACUCUUUAUUUUUAGCUCCUGAUGUGUUGAUAUAAAGUUCAGUGAGAGAUAAUAGAUCAAUGAUAACGUUUAUUUCCUGUUGUUUUAAGUGUUGGUAUUUACUUUAGUCAUUAAAUGUCUCUCAGCAUUUUAUUCAGAUAACACACACAGAAACCAUUUCUCUUUAUUAAUCUUUGAGUUUAACACCUGAUGGUCUUUACUUUGACACCUGAUGGUCUUUACUUUAACACCUGAUGGUCUUUACUUUAACACCUGAUGGUCUUUACUUUGACACCUGAUGGUCUUUACUUUGACACCUGAUGGUCUUUACUUUGACACCUGAUGGACUUUACUUUAACACCUGAUGGUCUUUAGUCGGUCAUGUAAUGGUCACGUGAUGUCUGAGUGGGGACAGUAGAGGAAACCUGUUGUGGAGCUGAUGUUGAAUGACCCUGCUGCUUUUACAUCAGGAACAUGGUUCAUGCUAAAGGGAUAGUCUGAUGUGAAUGAGGUUCUUUUUUAACUGUCAGUGUGUUACAUGCUGUGGACAUCAUUCAGCACAGUCAGCGUUUGAGAAGACAGCCAGUAUGCAUGGUGGUUGUGCAUCACACUGCAAAGAAUGCAGACAGUAUCCUUAGAGAUAGCACACACUUUUACUGACAUGUUGUCCUGCAGGUGUUUCUGAACAGUGACUGUGCUGACAGUUAUCUGCUGCUAAUGACAAACUGAAGAUAAGGAAGGACCUUAAACUGCUUCAAAAACACAAACAAUCCCUUUAAAGAAACAGUUUAAGAAACUGUCAUCUAACAUUGUUCACCUAGAGACAGCUAAACAGUAAUGCCUGUGCUCCUGUGUUUAGUUUAGCUUAGCAUAAAGGGUAUGAGCAAAGGGAAACUGUUAGCUUAGCUCCCACCAAACUAAAGAAAUGUACCUUGAAACUGUUGUUACGCUGCUGUCUCAGCUUACAGUGGUUUUAUAAAUAUCUAGUAAAACUGUCCCCAAACUGUU